rnacentral:rRNA from 1 species
AUUGAACGCUGGCGGCAUGCCUUACACAUGCAAGUCGAACGGCAGCACGAUCUAGCUUUCUAGUUUGAUGGCGAGUGGCGAACGGGUGAGUAAUACAUCGGCACGUGUCCUGUUUUGGGGGAUAACUAGUCGAAAGAUUAGCUAAUACCGCAUACGACCUGAGGGUGAGAGGGGGGGGCCGCAAGGCCUCAUGCUGUAGUAGCGGCCGAGGUCUGAUUAGCUAGUUGGUGGGGUAAAGGUUCACCAAGGCGACCAUCAGUAGCUGGUCUGAGAGGACGAUCAGCCACAUUGGAACUGAGACACGGCCCAGACUCCUACGGGAGGCAGCAGUGGGGAAUUGUGGGCAAUGGGCGAAAGCCUGAUCCAGCAAUGCCGCGUGUGUGAAGAAGGCCUUCGGGUUGUAAAGCACUUUUGUCCGGAAAGAAAUGGCUCUGGUUAAUACCUGGGGUGGAUGACGGUAACGGAAGAAUAAGGACCGGCUAACUACGUG